CCUACGGGUGGCAGCAGUGAGGAAUAUUGGUCAAUGGACGAGAGUCUGAACCAGCCAAGUAGCGUGAAGGAUGACUGCCCUAUGGGUUGUAAACUUCUUUUAUAUGGGAAUAAAAUGUUCCACGUGUGGGAUUUUGUAUGUACCAUAUGAAUAAGGAUCGGCUAACUCCGUGCCAGCAGCCGCGGUAAUACGGAGUAUCCGAGCGUUAUCCGGAUUUAUUGGGUUUAACGGGAGCGUAGGUGGAUUGUUAAGUCAGUUGUGAAAGUUUGCGGCUCAACCGUAAAAUUGCAGUUGAAACUGGCAGUCUUGAGUACAGUAGAGGUGGGCGGAAUUCGUGGUGUAGCGGUGAAAUGCUUAGAUAUCACGAAGAACUCCGAUUGCGAAGGCAGUUCACUGGACUGCAACUGACACUGAGGCUCGAAAGUGUGGGUAUCAAACAGGAUUAGAUACCCUUGUAGUC
rnacentral:rRNA from 1 species